rnacentral:rRNA from 1 species
CGUGCGUAGGCGGAGACGCAAGCGUCUUGUGAAAGCCCACGGCUCAACCGUGGAAUUGCAGGGCGAACUGCGCCUCUUGAGGCCGGGAGAGGGUGCCGGAACUGUAGGUGUAGCGGUGAAAUGCGUAGAUAUCUACAGGAACGCCAAUGGUGAAGACAGGCACCUGGCCCGGUUCUGACGCUGAGGCACGAAAGCGUGGGUAGCGAACAGGAUUAGAUACCCUGGUAGUCCACGCCGUAAACACUGUGCACUAGGUCUCGGAGGUUCUGACGCCAUCGGGGCCGAAGCGAAAGCGAUAAGUGCACCGCCUGGGGAGUACGGUCGCAAGGCUAAAACUCAAAGGAAUUGACGGGGGCUCACACAAGCGGUGGAGCAUGUGGCUUAAUUCGAAGCAACGCGAAGAACCUUAUCCCGGGUUUGACAUGCAUGGAUUAGCCGUUGGAAACAUCGGUGACGCUCUCUGAGUGGAACAUGCACAGGUGCUGCAUGGCUGUCGUCAGCUCGUGCUGUGAAGUGUUGGGUUAAGUCCCUUAACGAGCGAAACCCCUGCCGUUAGUUGCUAACAGGUCAAGCUGAGGACUCUAACGGGACUGCCGGUGUCAAACCGGAGGAAGGUGGGGACGACGUCAAGUCCUCAUGGCCUUUAUGCCCGGGGCUGCACACGUGCUACAAUGGCGUCUACAAAGGGAAGCAAUGCCGCAAGGUGGAGCAAAUCCCAAAAAGGACGCCUCAGUUCGGAUCGUGCUCUGCAACUCGA